AUUGAAUUCUUUUCUUGCAAAUGAGUUUUUCCAAAGGAAGCCAAUAAGUGAAACCUGUGGAUUCUUUUUGCAUGGGAAAAUCAAGAUAGCCAACUGAGGACUUGGCCUAUUGGUAGCAUGUCAUUUGCAAUUUUGCAUCACAGUGCUUAGAUUCUUGAAACAUUUAGAGUUUUGUUAGUCUCUGCAAUUGAGCAACUAAGCAUAUAAUAGAUUUAACUGUCUUUAUGCUUAAUGUUCAUCCGUGUUAUUGAGCAGUCAUGUCAUUUUGAAUGAGAGAAAUAUUAACUAUUUAUUCUUUAUGUAAGCAUAGACGAAUUCUGGGCUAGAUGGAACAUGAAGCUUUUCUGGAAUUUUGGGUGAAAACAGAGUCCUGAGGGUUUCAUCUACAUUCAUGUGUGCUAUUUUGUACAUAUAGGUUUACCCCUUCAAAUGUCGACCUAUUGGUUAUUGAUCACCUUAGAAAAUUUCCCUUUUUCCUUCAAACAAUUAGUUUAUGAUGUCAGACAGGAAAUUCCAAACUCUAUAACUUUACUGAUUGUUGUUCAAUUACUGAUCCAAAUCUAUACCUCUGUAUCAGCAGUGCUUAAGUGACUGAAUCAUGUUUGGGUAUGGUGGAAGGAGUGAUAACACCAAGUAUUAUGAGAUUCUUGGUGUCUCAAAGAAUGCUAGUCAAGAUGAAAUGAAGAAGGCUUAUAAAAAAGCUGCCAUAAAGAAUCAUCCUGACAAAGGUGGAGAUCCUGAGAAGUUCAAGGAGCUGGCUCAUGCUUAUGAAGUUCUUAGUGAUCCAGAGAAGAGAGAUAUUUAUGACCAAUAUGGUGAAGAUGCACUUAAAGAGGGAAUGGGAGGAGGAGGUGGGAGUGGUGUUCAUAACCCAUUUGAUAUAUUUGAAUCACUUUUUGGCAGAUCUUUUGGUGGGGGAGGCAGCUCAAGAGGAAGAAGGCAGAAGCGAGGUGAUGAUGUAGUACAAACUCUGAAGGUUACCUUAGAGGACUUAUAUAAUGGAACAACCAAGAAACUCUCUCUUUCUAGAAAUUUUAUGUGUACUAAAUGUAAAGGGAAGGGCUCAAAGAGUGGAGCUUCUGGGAUGUGUUAUGGAUGCCAAGGUUCAGGAAUGAAAAUUACAACACGACAGAUUGGCCUGGGCAUGAUUCAGCAGAUGCAACAUAUCUGUCCGGAAUGCAGAGGCUCAGGUAGGUAAAUGGAACCAACUUAUUUCACCUUAUUCAUUUUGGCUGUAUUUUCUGGAUUGUACCUAUUGUUGGUGCAGGUGAGGUCAUCAGUGAGAAGGAUAAAUGCCCACAGUGCAGGGGAAAAAAAGUAUCUCAAGAAAAGAAAGUGCUGGAGGUACAUGUUGAGAAAGGGAUGCAUCAUGGCCAGAAAAUAGUUUUUGAGGGUCAAGCUGAUGAAGCGGUAAGCUAAAUGAUAUCUAAAUUGGGUUUAGCUUGUGCUUUUCUUUAUUAGCUUGGUUUAAUUUGUCUUAAUAGUAUUUUUUUUCCAACUGAAAUUCAGUAUGAAAAGUGUGAAAUAUGGAACAGAAAUGGCAUACUAGUUUUUGGAUUAGUUUUGUGGACAUAUUGUGAUGUGAUGAUGAAAAAUGAGUGGCAAAAGCAAAAUAAGACAGAAAAGUUAUCAUUCUAAGUGGACCAGCCCUUGACGUUCAUGUUAGCUGAGGGUAUUUGCUUACAAAAAGGUUGCUUUUUUAUCUGUACUAAGUUAGAAGUUGUCAACACUUUACAGUAAUCUUGGUACACAUCUGAACAGGUUAGUUGUCGCUUUAACUAUUUACACAAAAAUCCACUUCUACAAUAUAAUGAUGAUGUUUAUAUUUUGAAAGGGCUCCAAUCUAAACAUUGUUUUAAGCAAUGACUUGAAGAUCCUUAUAUCUUUCUUAAUUUAAUUUGCAGCCUGAUACGGUUACUGGAGAUAUUGUUUUUGUAUUGCAACUGAGGGAUCACCCCAAGUUUGAGCGGAAGGUUGAUGAUCUCAUUGUGGAGCGCACCCUCAAUUUAACAGAGGCGCUCUGUGGAUUUCAGUUUGUCCUGACUCACCUUGAUGGCAGGCAACUUCUGAUCAAAUCAAAUCCUGGCGAGGUCAUAAAGCCUGGUCAAUACAAAGCAAUCAAUGAUGAGGGAAUGCCACAGCAUGGUCGGCCCUUCAUGAAAGGCAAGCUUUAUAUCCAUUUUAAUGUGGAUUUCCCCGACUCUAGGAUUCUUUCCCCUGAGCAGUGCCAUACUAUAGAGACCAUACUUCCCUUGAGGUCAAGAAAGCACUUGUCUGACAUGGAGCUUGAUGAGUGUGAAGAGACUAUUUUGCAUGAUGUCAAUAUGGCGGAGGAGGAGAAGAGGCGAAAACAGCAGCAGAGAUAUGAGGCAUAUGAAUAUGAUGAAGAUGAUGAGCCAUCAAUGUCAGGUGUACAAUGCGCUCAGCAGUAAGUGAAAGACUGCCUUGUUUUCAAUGGUAGCUACAUCAGCUUAUUACUAUCCUCACAGAUCGGCGUUUUGGAUUCUGCCUAGUUUUAUUCUUUUACAUAUAUAAUUUCACCUAUAGUUACCUGCAUAUGGUUUGUGCGCUAUUUGUCACCAUUUGUUACGAGUAUGAUGGUAUAUUUCAGGUUCUAUAUGUUUUAUUGCAUGUGCUUUUGAGUUAUCUCAAAUGAUUUGCUAUUUUGCUCUUGUCGAUAUUUAUUUGCCAUUAAUCUGUUUUCGCUCCGAUGUGUUGCGAAGGCUUGAAUUCGUGUGCAUAGCCUAAUGUUCAAGGGCUUGCGAGAUGCUUUUAACCUUUACUGCAUUGGUGCAGGGAUGCCAUUAGCAGAAUUUCAUUCUGUAAACAUGAUUUGCUUGGUAACAUCAGUAGUAAAAAUCUAAAGUACUCCACAUUGUCAAGAGUUCUAUAUAUAUGUUCGCAUGGCGGAUCGUUCACCAGCAAAAACUCUGAUUGGAGAUCAAUGUCAUUGAAAAAGAAUUUGACAAUAAGAAAUCAAAGUAACAAUAUUUUUUGUGGGAAAGCCUACCUGAUAUAAAC
rnacentral:misc_RNA from 1 species